GAUGAACGCUGGCGGCGUGCCUAAUACAUGCAAGUCGAGCGAACAGACGAGGAGCUUGCUCCUCUGACGUUAGCGGCGGACGGGUGAGUAACACGUGGAUAACCUACCUAUAAGACUGGGAUAACUUCGGGAAACCGGAGCUAAUACCGGAUAAUAUAUUGAACCGCAUGGUUCAAUAGUGAAAGACGGUUUUGCUGUCACUUAUAGAUGGAUCCGCGCCGCAUUAGCUAGUUGGUAAGGUAAAGGCUUACCAAGGCAACGAUGCGUAGCCGACCUGAAAGGGUGAUCGGCCACACUGGAACUGAGACACGGUCCAGACUCCUACGGGAGGCAGCAGUAGGGAAUCUUCCGCAAAGGGCGAAAGCCUGACGGAGCAACGCCGCGUGAGUGAUGAAGGUCUUCGGAUCGUAAAACUCUGUUAUUAGGGAAGAACAAAUGUGUAAGUAACUAUGCACGUCUUGACGGUACCUAAUCAGAAAGCCACGGCUAACUACGUG
rnacentral:rRNA from 1 species